rnacentral:rRNA from 1 species
UACGUAGGGUGCAAGCGUUGUCCGGAAUUAUUGGGCGUAAAGAGCUCGUAGGCGGUUUUGUCGCGUCGGCUGUGAAAACUCGGGGCUCAACCCCGAGCCUGCAGUCGAUACGGGCAGACUAGAGUGCUGUAGGGGAGACUGGAAUUCCUGGUGUAGCGGUGAAAUGCGCAGAUAUCAGGAGGAACACCGGUGGCGAAGGCAGGUCUCUGGGCUGAUACUGACGCUCAUGCACGAAAGCGUGGGGAGCAAACAGG